AAUUUUAAGGAAAUUUUGCUGUUUUUGGUUAUUUAUCUUGAAUAUUAUUAUAGAUAAAGAUAAACUGUAAACAGCAAUAAUGUUCAGCAAAGUAAGAUUUACAAAUAAGUCAACAUGACUGAAAUGGUCAGUUGACCCCUUUAGGAGUUAUUGCCCUUUAUAGUCAAUUUUUAACCAUUUUUCGUAAAUCUUAGUAAUCUUUUACAAAAAUCUUCUUCUCUGAAACUACUGGGCCAAAUUAAACCAAACUUGGCCACAAUCAUAAUUGGGGUAUCUAGUUUAAAAAAUGUGUGGCGUGACCCGGCCAACCAACCAAGAUGGCCGCUACAGCUAAAAAUAGAACAUAGGGGUAAAAUUCAGUUUUUGGCUUAUAACUCAAAAACCAAAGCAUUUAGAGCAAAUCUGACAUGUAGUAAAAUUGAUUAUCAGGUCAAGAUCUAUCUGCCCUGAAAUUUACAGAUGAAUUGGACAACCUGUUGUUGGGUUGCUGCCCCUGAAUUGGUAAUUUUAAGGAAAUUUUGCUGUUUUUGGUUAUUUAUCUUGAAUAUUAUUAUAGAUAAAGAUAAACUGUAAACAUCAAUAAUGUUCAGCAAAGUAAGAUUUACAAAUAAGUCAACAUGACUGAAAUGGUCAGUUGACCCCUUUAGGAGUUAUUGCCCUUUAUAGUCAAUUUUUAACCAUUUUCGUAAAUCUUAGUAAUCUAUUACAAAAAUCUUCUCCUCUGAAACCACUGGGCCAAAUUAAACCAAACUUGGCCACAAUCAUCAUUGGGGUAUCUAGUUUAAAAAAUGUGUGGCGUGACCUGGUCAACCAACCAAGAUGGCCGCCACGGCUAAAAAUAGAACAUAGGGGUAAAAUUCAGGUUUUGGCUUAUAACUCAAAAACCAAAGCAUUUAGAGCAAAUUUAACAUGUAGUAAAAUUGAUUAUCAGGUCAAGAUCUAUCUGCCCUGAAAUUUUCAGAUGAACCGGACGACCUUUGUUGGGUUGCUGCCCCUGAAUUGGUAAUUUUAUGGAAAUUUUGCUGUUUUGGUUAUUAUCUUGAAUAUUAUUAUAGAUAGAGAUAAACUGUAAACAGCAAUAAUGUUCAGCAAAGUAAGAUUUACAAAUAAGUCAACAUGACUGAAAUGGUCAGUUGAUCCCUUUAGGAGUUAUUGCCCUUUAUAGUCAAUUUUGAACCAUUUUUCGUAAAUCUUAGUUAUCUUUUACAAAAAUCUUCUCCUCUGAAACUACUGGGCCAAGUUCAUUAUAGAUUGAGAUAAUUGUAAGCAGCAAGAAUGUUCAGUAAAGUAAGAUUUACAAACACAUCACCAUCACCAAAACACAAUUUUGUCAUGAAUCCAUCUGCGUCCUUUGUUUAAUAUUCACAUAGACCAAGGUGAGCGACACAGGCUCUUUAGAGCCUCUAGUUCU
rnacentral:lncRNA from 1 species